rnacentral:rRNA from 1 species
AAGUCGCACGGACCUUCGGGUCAGUGGCGCACGGGUGAGGAACGCGUGGGAACCUGCCCUGGGGUGGGGAACAACCGCUGGAAACGGCGGCUAAUACCGCAUACGCCCUGAGGGGGAAAGACCUUGGUUGCCCUGGGAGGGGCCCGCGUCCGAUUAGCUUGUUGGUGGGGUAACGGCCUACCAAGGCAUCGAUCGGUAGCUGGUCUGAGAGGAUGAUCAGCCACACUGGGACUGAGACACGGCCCAGACUCCUACGGGAGGCAGCAGUGGGGAAUAUUGGACAAUGGGCGAAAGCCUGAUCCAGCAAUGCCGCGUGAGUGAAGAAGGCCUUAGGGUUGUAAAGCUCUUUCGCCCGAGACGAUGAUGACGGUAUCGGGAGAAGAAGCCCCGGCUAAUUUCGUGCCAGCAGCCGCGGUAAUACGAAAGGGGCUAGCGUUGUUCGGAAUUACUGGGCGUAAAGCGCACGCAGGCGGCUGGUCAAGUGAGGCGUGAAAGCCCUGGGCUCAACCUGGGAACGGCGCCUCAGACUGUCUGGCUAGAGGCCGAGAGAGGGUGGUGGAAUACCCAGUGUAGAGGUGAAAUUCGUAGAUAUUGGGUGGAACACCGGUGGCGAAGGCGGCCACCUGGCUCGGACCUGACGCUCAUGUGCGAAAGCGUGGGGAGCAAACAGGA